CUAGAGCUGGGGGACUCAAGCCUCAUGUUAUAGUAUGAUCACGUGAUGAAGUAGAAUCAGAAUAUAAGGUUAACACAAUAGGCUAUGGAUGGGAAUACAAAGCAAAUCUCAGAAUGCAAGCAGAGAGAUCACUAUUGAAGUUUUUGGCUAUACACAACCACAGGUGAUAGACUUAUUAGAAAAUUCUUGAAGAGCAACUACCCAUUUCUCACACAGAGAACAUCAGAAUCUUGAUUUCCACCUUCAGGUAGAGGUCAUCCUUUCCAGGUGUAUGUUUAUUUCUACAGAUAAUUAUUUAGAUAGGUGUGCUAACUUGAGACUUCAUAAAGAGAAUGCUUUGGUGAGAAUGACUGAAUCCAUCUCUAUGGUGGGAACAGUGUACAGUUGAUUCCAUAUACACAGAGUAAACCAUAUGGGGUGUUUCCAAAUGUUCUCAUGUAGGUCUCUACUUCCUCUUCACUAACAAUCUGGUGACAUUGUUUACCCAGUAUAAGCAAGAAUAUCAUCUCUCUUUGGUUCUGCCCAAGUCUCCACCCUCUUGUGGGCGUUCCAAUCCACUCUUGCCUUGUGCUCUCUACCACAGGGUGCUGUUCUUCAGUUCUCUUGGUACUAAUCUCCAAAGCUUCUAGAGUUGGAGGGAGAUGGCUCCUGAGUCUGCCAGAUGCUGCAGCUCUCUGCUUCUUUAACCAGACUGCACUGAGGUUGUGUUCUCUGGGGGCAGAUAAACUUUUUGGGUAGGAACGCCAUUUUCUCUGAGUUUAGAGGUAUUACAACGGAGGCAAUCAAUGUUUUUUAUGGUAGAAUCAUUCAGUUUCUAAUGCUGUUCAGUUGUUGGUACCAUGCCAUUCCCUGUGCAACACUAUUAAAUUUCCACCUUAUACCCUCAACAGCUAAGGCAAUGACUGCUGUAGCUCAAUUCUGUGUUGCAUUAUAGCUUCAAUAAACAAUCUUUCCUAAGGAAUCCCCUUUCUUUUCUUUCCUUCCUCCCUUCUUUUCCUUUUCUUCCUUCCUUUAAUCCUCACUGAACUUUCAGUACAUGCCAAACCCUGUGUUAAACAUUUGGUGUACAAAGAUGAAAGAACUAUGCUCAUUGCAUCCCACUCCAACCUCAAAGUCUAGUAGGAAGAUAGUCAAGGAAACAAGUAAACAAAAAGCUAGAAAAAAAUGCUGAAUGAGAGGUCUAAAUGAACUAAUUAAUAACGUUGAGAAAUCAGGGACUCUUCAUGGGGGAAGGUGUUACAUGAACUGAAUCUUGAAGAGAGACUGUACUUUUCAGUACAUGGAAAGUUUCAGAUUGAAUAAGAAUGAUAGAGGAAUCUCUGUAUAUGACAUGCUAGCCACUGCUGCUUUUCUGUCCAGGCCAUCCUAAAUCAUAGUUAUAGCACAUGACUAUACAUUGUGUGUAGUGGUCACACCUACUUCAGGUCAGAAAUUCUCUAAAUAUUCACGUUACAUUGUCUAACCUCCAGGGUAAUCAUUCUCAAUAUUUUCAUCUCUUCUGGACAUGAUAGUUUGUAUCCUCCCUUACCCCCCUAACUGUAUUCGUAUACACACAUUCUCAUCAUGCUCUCAGUGACCAUGUUCAUGUUUAUCACCAGCCUUAGUCUGAGAAUGUCUGUGAAACCAAGAGAAGAAGACUUCUCUUCCUCAGCCCACAGGGAAAAACAAAAAAACAAAACAAAAAAAGGCCUUCUUCAGGAGUCUCCAGAUAUAUAUUGAUGGAUCCUACAGGGGGGUCCACAUAAUGACUCGUCUCUGGCCUGAUGUCCCAGCAUCUGCUACACGUUUCCUUCAACUCCAGGAAGCUGCACAUCAAGAAGGCAUCAUCAUUAUGAAAAAUAAAACCACAGAAGAAGCUAAAUUUGCAAAGAGAAAUUCCAUUAGCAUCUGGAGGGCCGUUUCUUUGUUUGAAGGGACAGCGAAACACGGUUAUGAAGAUUCAGAGCAUGGCAUCCUCCUCCCGAUUCUUGGGAUUGUAAAGGCAGAUCUGUAACCGCCAGGAAGUCCCUGUGCUGCCUAUUAUAAACCGUAAUCAGUUGGAACUGAUUGCUCAACUCUGGUCAUUUUCAUCUACAAACAAAUUCACAAGUUUUCCAGACAAAUAUGGAUGGGCUGGUAAAUUUAAAUUUCAAAUGAAAAAAUAUCUUCCUGUAAUGAGUUCACAUACCUUUUAUUUAGACUUCCAAAUGCCAGCAUAAUGUGAUUAGUUUUGAUGUUGUUUCUUUCCACCACUUAUGAGAAAUCACAUCAUCAAUCAUAUUAUCAAAAUUAGAUGUGGAGAAGACCUAGCAUGUCACCAGGACCCUCCCCUGUGCCUGUAUAGACUUGUUUUAGCCAGUGUCUGUACUUUUUAAUAUUUUCUUCAAUCUAAUAUUAAACUUCCCUUGUGAUCAAGCAUCUACCAUUUCCAUUGUAAUGACAUAAAAAUAAAA